GCUCAUGAGGACUCAAGUCCGUGCAUUUGCUGAAAUUUGGUCUCCUUCCACUCUCGGUUGACUAGAACCAUUCUCUCCUUCCCGCAGCUGAUACGAGAACUUGGGGGGCAGUUGCUGUCUAGUGAUCCCCACGUCGGAGCGGAAGCCCGCGGCGCCACACACGCACCACGCACGCCUCGCACAUGCGCAGCCCUCGCUCUCGCACGCAACUCGUGGCCACCUAGCCUAGAGGCGGCUGCCAAGCGUCCUGGCUGAGGGAUGGCGGGACCCCAGGCGGCUGGAGUGGAGAAAGUUGACCGCCCCCGUCUUUUCUGCCCCGUGGGUGGCUACUGCGUGCCCCCAAGUAACCCAGAGGUUGAGGGCCCCCCAGUGCGCGGCGGCCGGGGGUCAGGAUGCGGGACUCCCCUCCACCGCCAUGAUCUCGCAGUGUGGGGGAGCGCUCGGGGACAGAAAUGAGGCCCGAGAUGUGUGCCUUCUCCUUGCUCCUGACCGCUGACUUCGUUAUUCCAAAUACGCAGCCGAAACCAUCGCUCUUGCAGGUGCAGCUUUUCUCUGCCUCUCCUAUGUGGAAAGCAGCGCAGCGUGGACUCCAGCCAAACUCCCUCGAUUGGAUUGCAGCUCUCUGGCUCUCUGUCCCUGUGACCUUGGGCAGUUUACCUCCUCUAUGUCUCAGUUUCCUCAGCUGUGCAAAGGGGUUACUGAUCCUGCUUAAUGGGGUGGGUUGUUGUGAAGAGGAAAUGAGUUAACAUAAGUAGAGAAAGAGACUGGUGCCUGGCAAGCACUAUUGUUCAUUUCCUCAAGAGGACACAACAAGGCACCAUCUUGGAAGCAGAGAGCGAGCCAUCACUGGACACCAAACCUGCAGGUGCCUUGAUCUUGGACUUCCCAGCCUCUAUAACUCAAAGGAUAUGCCACCACCCUCCUGUGUCUGAAGCUUGCCCAGCCAGCAGGUCCAGCUCCAGUGCUGCGUCAUGUGAAAGCCUUCCCCACUAUCAUGGCCUGCCCUGGAUUCUCAUGGAAUUGUGAGAAAACCUCCAAACACUAACUCCCUACCAAGUCAGCCACUCAGCACAUCAGAGUAGUGUCACCUCGGGCUGGGACUGUCCAGAACGCUGGAGUCCCACAGCCUCACUUCCCACUAACAGCUGCUUCCCUCCUCAUCCUUGCCCACAUGGAUUCCAGGCACGGUGGAGUGGAGGAGAACGUCCCAUGCUAAUGCAGGACACCUUGAGAGAGGAACAUCUCCACCGUGGGAGGGACAAUGAGUCUCUGGCACUGGGGCUUUGGCCUGAACAGUCUGGAUCACCUUCACCCA
rnacentral:lncRNA from 1 species